rnacentral:rRNA from 1 species
CCUACGGGUGACUGCAGUGAGGAAUAUUGGUCAAUGGACGAGAGUCUGAACCAGCCAAGUAGCGUGAAGGAUGACUGCCCUAUGGGUUGUAAACUUCUUUUAUAAAGGAAUAAAACGAGGCACGUGUGCCUUUUUGCAUGUACUUUAUGAAUAAGGAUCGGCUAACUCCGUGCCAGCAGCCGCGGUAAUACGGAGGAUCCGAGCGUUAUCCGGAUUUAUUGGGUUUAAAGGGAGCGUAGAUGGGUUGUUAAGUCAGUUGUGAAAGUUUGCGGCUCAACCGUAAAAUUGCAAUUGAUACUGGCAGUCGUGAGUACAGUUGAGGUAGGCGGAAUUCGUGGUGUAGCGGUGAAAUGCUUAGAUAUCACGAAGAACCCCGAUUGCGAAGGCAGCUUACUAAACUGUGACUGACAUUGAUGCUCGAAAGUGUGGGUAUCAAACAGGAUUAGAUACCCCAGUAGUC